CGCUGACCCACACAUCACAGACAUAGCGACUUAGUCUUUUUGUGCGUGUGAGAGGUAAGCGCCGUGGCCUGCCUUUUCUGACCUGCCCUUUGCCCAAUCUUCUGCUCCUCCUGACCCCGGGUUCUGUCGCCCUCAGCUCGAUAACCUCGGUGCGCUCCCGUGCUGCGGCCUGUGACUGGUUUGUCUGCGAAGUCCUACCUGCCUGCUGACUGACUGGCCUAGAGCGCCGCCAAGAUGAAGCUCUCCCUGGUGGCUGCGGUGCUGCUG
rnacentral:other from 1 species